GUGGGGAAUUUUGGACAAUGGGCGCAAGCCUGAUCCAGCAAUGCCGCGUGCAGGAAGAAGGCCUUCGGGUUGUAAACUGCUUUUGUACGGAACGAAACGGUCCGGGUUAAUACCCUGGGCUAGUGACGGUACCGUAAGAAUAAGCACCGGCUAACUACGUGCCAGCAGCCGCGGUAAUACGUAGGGUGCAAGCGUUAAUCGGAAUUACUGGGCGUAAAGCGUGCGCAGGCGGUUUUGUAAGACAGGCGUGAAAUCCCCGGGCUCAACCUGGGAAUUGCGCUUGUGACUGCAAGGCUGGAGUGCGGCAGAGGGGGAUUGAAUUCCGCGUGUAGCAGUGAAAUGCGUAGAUAUGCGGAGGAACACCGAUGGCGAAGGCAAUCCCCUGGGCCUGCACUGACGCUCAUGCACGAAAGCGUGGGGAGCAAACAGGAUUAGAAACCCCUGUAGUCC
rnacentral:rRNA from 1 species